AUGCAACCUCACAUGGUUCCAUUAUGUGAGAAGCACAAGAAGUUGCAUGCAGCACAAGUGAAGAAUGUUCUGACAUCAUUCAGCCAGAUAAUGCAGUCAAUUUUCUGCAAGCGUGUAGCACAUAUUUUGGUUGAAGCAAACUCCAUUGCUGCAACUUCCAAGGAACACAUGUCUAAAGGUGUUACUUUUCAAGUUCCAGCAUGCAAUGCAGCAGGAGGAUGUGACACCAGGGCUCCACCCCAAACUAGCCCUACGACUACAUGGGUGCCACAACACAAGAAGCCGAGGUUGAGAUGGAAGCUGCAGAUUGUCCCGACACCAACCAGAAUGGACAUGAUCAUGACAUUGUUUUGGAUAAAAUGUAGAGUUGCGAUACACUUGGGAAGGAAGAUGUGA
rnacentral:rRNA from 1 species